rnacentral:rRNA from 1 species
GAGUUUGAUCAUGGCUCAGAUUGAACGCUGGCGGCAGGCUUAACACAUGCAAGUCGAGCGGUAACAGGGGGUGCUUGCACCCCGCUGACCGAGCGGCGGACGGGUGAGUAAUGCUUAGGAAUCUGCCCAGUAGUGGGGGACAACAGUCGGAAACGGCUGCUAAUACCGCAUACGCCCUACGGGGGAAAGCAGGGGAUCUUCGGACCUUGCGCUAUUGGAUGAGCCUAAGUCGGAUUAGCUAGUUGGUGGGGUAAAGGCCUACCAAGGCGACGAUCCGUAGCUGGUCUGAGAGGAUGAUCAGCCACAUCGGGACUGAGACACGGCCCGAACUCCUACGGGAGGCAGCAGUGGGGAAUAUUGGACAAUGGGGGCAACCCUGAUCCAGCCAUGCCGCGUGUGUGAAGAAGGCUUUCGGGUUGUAAAGCACUUUCAGCGAGGAGGAAGGCCUUAAAGUUAAUACCUUUAAGGAUUGACGUUACUCGCAGAAGAAGCACCGGCUAACUCCGUGCCAGCAGCCGCGGUAA